GCUGGGUCCGGUGGCACAUGCCUGUAGUCCCAGCUACUCGGGAGGCUGAGGUGGGGGGAUCGCUUGAGCCGAGGAGUUCUGGGCUGCAGUGCGCUAUGCUGAUCGGAUGUCCGCACUAAGUUCGGCAUCAAUAUGGUGACCUCCUGGGAGCGGGGGACCACCAGGUUGCCUAAGGAGGAGUGAACCGGCCCAGGUCGGAAACAGAGCAAGUCAAAACUCCCAUGCUGAUCAGUAGUGGGAUCACACCUGUGAAUAGCCACUGCACUCCAGCCUGGGCAACAUAGCAAGACCUGUCUCU
rnacentral:SRP_RNA from 1 species